UUGGAGGGAAAACAACAAUGGGACAUAGUGGACUCUGGAUUCAAGAUUUGCGCUCUAGUUCUAAAGAGAGAAGCAGGUAGACCAAGGAAGAGUCGAAUCAGACCUCGCAACGAAGGAGGUGGACAUGGAGCGAGGCUGCGUAAGUGCACAAGGUGUGGUGGGUCUAGUAAUUCCGGUAAGUAUUGUGAUAACAAAGUAGAUCCAGCGUUCGGAGAGUACUUCGAUGAAGGCUUCGAUGAAAAUGUUGGUCAGCGGCCGGUUGCAACAGAUGAUGAAAAUGAUGGUCAACAGUCGGUUGCAACAGAUGAGGAUUUUGACGAGGUUCCAAAUGAUGAUGGUCAACAGCCACAUGAUUUCGACGAUGAUCCAAAAUAUCCUCCAAAUGAUGUUCCAGGUGAAGCUCCAAAUGAUGAUCCAAGUGAGGAUCCAAAUGGUGAUCCUUGUGAGGCUCCAAAUGGUGAUCCAAGUGAGGCUCCAAAUGAUGAUCCAAGUGAGGCUCCAAAUGGUGACCAACCUUCUGUCACUGUGAGUUCUGCUUGGCAUGUAAAUCUUGCCAAUAGUAUUGUACAUUUAUCACUUGACAUGAUCUCAUUACCCUUUAUGUUUUGUACAACUCUUCGGUAG
rnacentral:rRNA from 1 species